rnacentral:rRNA from 1 species
CGUGAGGGAGGAGGCUCUUGGGUUGUAAACCUCAAAACUUAGGGAAGAAAAAAAUGACGGUACCUAAUGUAAGCAUCGGCUAACUCCGUGCCAGCAGCCGCGGUAAUACGGAGGAUGCAAGCGUUAUCCGGAAUCAUUGGGCGUAAAGAGUCCGUAGGUGGCACUUCAAGUCUGCUUUCAAAGACCGAAGCUCAACUUCGGAAAGGGAGUGGAAACUGAAGAGCUAGAGUAUAGUAGGGGUAGAGGGAAUUCCUAGUGUAGCGGUGAAAUGCGUAGAGAUUAGGAAGAACACCAGUGGCGAAGGCGCUCUACUGGGCAUAUACUGACACUGAGGGACGAAAGCUAGGGGAGCGAAAGGGAUUA